UUACGUCCAUAUCACGUUGAAACAUCGGUUCUCGUACGAUCACCGAAGUUAAGCAACGGCAAACCUGGUUAGUACCUAGACGGGUGACCAAUUGGGAAUACCAGAUGUUGUAAG